CGCUGGCGGCACGCCUAACACAUGCAAGUCGAACGAAGUAGCAAUACUUAGUGGCAGACGGGUGAGUAACAUGUAGGUAUCUACCCUUUGGCCUGGAAUAACACGAGGAAACUUGUGCUAAUACCGGAUAAGUCUUUACGGAGAAAGCUUUAUGCACCAUUGGAUGAGCCUGCACUUGAUUAGUUUGUUGGUAGGGUAAUGGCCUACCAAGACUGUGAUCAAUAGCUGAUUUGAGAGGAUGAUCAGCCACAUUGGGACUGAGACACGGCCCAAACUCCUACGGGAGGCAGCAGUGGGGAAUCUUGCACAAUGGAGGAAACUCUGAUGCAGCGAUGCCGCGUGAGUGAAGAAGGCCCUUGGGUUGUAAAGCUCUUUCGUCGGGGAAGAAAAUGACUGUACCCGAAUAAGAAGGUCCGGCUAACUUCGUGCCAGCAGCCGCGGUAAUACGAAGGGACCUAGCGUAGUUCGGAAUUACUGGGCUUAAAGAGUUCGUAGGUGGUUGAAAAAGUUGGUGGUGAAAUCCCAGAGCUUAACUCUGGAACUGCCAUCAAAACUUUUCAGCUAGAGUUUGAUAGAGGAAAGCAGAAUUUCUAGUGUAGAGGUGAAAUUCGUAGAUAUUAGAAAGAAUACCAAUUGCGAAGGCAGCUUUCUGGAUCAUUACUGACACUGAGGAACGAAAGCAUGGGUAGCGAAGAGGAUUAGAUACCCUCGUAGUCCAUGCCGUAAACGAUGUGUGUUAGACGUUGGAAAUUUAUUUUCAGUGUCGCAGCGAAAGCAAUAAACACACCGCCUGGGGAGUACGACCGCAA
rnacentral:rRNA from 1 species